rnacentral:rRNA from 1 species
ACUCCUACGGGAGGCAGCAGUGGGGAAUAUUGCACAAUGGGCGCAAGCCUGAUGCAGCCAUGCCGCGUGUAUGAAGAAGGCCUUCGGGUUGUAAAGUACUUUCAGCAGUGAGGAAGGUGGAUAUGUUAAUAGCAUAUUCUAUUUGUACGUUAGCUGCAGAAGAAGCACCGGCUAACUCCGUGCCAGCAGCCGCGGUAAGUACGGAGGGUGCGAGCGUUAAUCGGAAUUACGUGGCGUAAAGCGCAUGCAGGUUGGUUUGUUAAGUCAGAUGUGAAAGCCCGGGGCUCAACCUCGGAAUUGCAUUUGAAACUGGCAAACUAGAGUACUGUAGAGGGGGUAGAAUUUCAGGUGUAGCGGUGAAAUGCGUAGAGAUCUGAAGGAAUACCGGUGGCGAACGGCGGCCCCCGUGGACAGAUACUGACACUCAGAUGCGAAAGCGUGGGAGC